rnacentral:rRNA from 1 species
UACGGAGGGGACUAGCGUUGUUCGGAAUCACUGGGCUUAAAGGGCGCGUAGGCGGGCUGCCGCGUCCGGGGUGAAAUCCCACGGCUCAACCGUGGAACGGCCCCGGGUACGGGCGGCCUCGAGGGGGGUAGGGGCGUGCGGAACUGUGGGUGGAGCGGUGAAAUGCGUUGAUAUCCACAGGAACUCCGGUGGCGAAGGCGGCACGCUGGACCCCCACUGACGCUGAUGAGCGAAAGCCAGGGGAGCAAACGGG